rnacentral:rRNA from 1 species
UACAGAGGGUGCGAGCGUUUAAUCGGAAUUACUGGGCGUAAAGGGUGCGUAGGUGGUUAGAUUAGUUGGAUGUGAAAUACUCGGGCUUAACCUGGGAACUGCAUUCAAUACUGUCUAGCUAGAGUUUUGUAGAGGGAAGUGGAAUUUCCGGUGUAGCGGUGAAAUGCGUAGAUAUCGGAAGGAACACCAGUGGCGAAAAGCGGCUUCCUGGUCCAGCACCGACGUUCAGGCACGAAAGCGUGGGGAGCAAACAGG